rnacentral:rRNA from 1 species
GAUGAACGCUAGCGGGAGGCUUAACACAUGCAAGUCGAGGGGCAGCACGAUGUAGCAAUACGUUGGUGGCGACCGGCGCACGGGUGAGUAACGCGUAUGUAACCUACCUUGUACAGGGGGAUAGCCCGGAGAAAUUCGGAUUAAUACCCCAUAAUGAUAUUUGAAGGCAUCUUCAGAUAUUUAAAGUUUCGACGGUACGAGAUGGGCAUGCGUGACAUUAGCUAGUUGGUAAGGUAACGGCUUACCAAGGCUACGAUGUCUAGGGGUCCUGAGAGGGUGAUCCCCCACACUGGUACUGAGACACGGACCAGACUCCUACGGGAGGCAG